rnacentral:tRNA from 1 species
CGCCGGACUGUUAAUCCGUAGGUCCCUGGUUCGAGCCCAGGUCGGGGAGCCA